UACGGAGGGUGCAAGCGUUAUCCGGAUUCACUGGGUUUAAAGGGUGCGUAGGCGGGCAGGUAAGUCCGUGGUGAAAUCUCUGAGCUUGACUCAGAAACUGCCAUGGAUACUAUCUGUCUUGAAUAUUGUGGAGGUAAGCGGAAUAUGUCAUGUAGCGGUGAAAUGCUUAGAUAUGACAUAGAACACCAAUUGCGAAGGCAGCUUGCUACACAGUUAUUGACGCUGAGGCACGAAAGCGUGGGGAUCAAACAGG
rnacentral:rRNA from 1 species